rnacentral:rRNA from 1 species
AUUGAACGCUGGCGGCAGGCCUAACACAUGCAAGUCGGGCGAGCGGCGGACGGGUGAGUAAUGUAUGGGGAUCUGCCUGAUGGUGGGGGAUAACUACUGGAAACGGUAGCUAAUACCGCAUACCAUCAGAUGAACCCAUAGUGGAUUAGCUAGUAGGUAAGGUAACGGCUUACCUAGGCGACGAUCCCUAGCUGGUCUGAGAGGAUGAUCAGCCACAUUGGUACUGAGCUACGGCCCAGACUCCUACGGGAGGCAGCAGUGGGGGAUAUUGCACAAUGGGCGAGAGCCUGAUGCAGCGACGCCGCGUGGGGGAUGAAGGCUUUCGGGUUGUAAACCUCUUUCGCUAUCGAACGGGUAGGUGGAGAAGAAGCGCCGGCUAACUACGUGCCAGCAGCCGCGGUAAUUC